UGAGGAAUAUUGGUCAAUGGGCGCAAGCCUGAACCAGCCAUCCCGCGUGAAGGAAGAAUGCGCUAUGCGUUGUAAACUUCUUUUCCAGGGGAAUAAAAUUUCGUACGUGUACGGGACUGAAGGUACCUUGGGAAUAAGCAUCGGCUAACUCCGUGCCAGCAGCCGCGGUAAUACGGCGGAUGCGAGCGUUAUCCGGAUUUAUUGGGUUUAAAGGGUGCGUAGGCGGAAAAAUAAGUCAGUGGUGAAAACCUUCAGCUUAACUGGAGACUUGCCAUUGAUACUGUUAGUCUUUAGUAUAGUUAAGGUAGUCGGAAUGUGUAAUGUAGCGGUGAAAUGCUUAGAUAUUACACAGAACACCAAUUGCGAAGGCAGCUUACUGAGCUAUAACUGACGCUGAUGCACGAAAGCGUGGGGAGCGAACA
rnacentral:rRNA from 1 species